CAGGACCCGGGGCUUCAGUGUGCCCAGGACGUCAAUUUCAACACUGUCAUACUCAGUAAGGUCAGCAGAGGAACAAACAGAGUCUCAUCUGAGACCCUCAAAGUGGCGGAGACAGAUCACGCUGACUGGUCGGACUCGGUUGGCGAUUUGGACUCUGCAUUCCUUCUCCUGGAACCAGAGGAUCCUGGACUGUCCCGUUUCUAAAGAGCCCUCUACGCUUGGAUCCACUGGCCCGUGGGAGACGGAAGAGUUAGCCACCAAGCAAGACACGAGUGGCCCCUUCAGCCCAGCUGAUGAUGUGACCCAAAUUGCCCCUCUCCUGCACCGACCUCACAGUGGGAUGACAGUUUCCUGACAUAUUUUCAACCACUGUGUGUGAAAACACAAAUGUACAGAAAUACAAACAUGUUGAUGCAUAAUUUACCAGCAAAUAUCUUUUGAAACUACUAUCCUCAAUUAAGCUUCUGUUUUUAUUUCUGGUGCUAGGAUUCUGUGCCAAUCUGAUUGCUCACGAAAGCUGUUUGCAAGGUUGGAAAUGUACAGCAAUAAAGCACA